GGCGUUUGCAAUUUAUUGCGAAAUAACAGUAAAACCUGUUCUAAGGGAUACAUAUGUUAAGUUUAGCAACUCUUUUAUUUUCACAUUGCAUAAAUGUAUAGAAACUGACUGACCCCCUUUCUUUCAUACAAUUAUCAUAUAUGUCAGCAUUUCUCCAUAACAACAAUUAUUGAACAAUACACCAUACAAAACCAAUCAUUAAGGUGGUACCUAACACUACAAGGAGAUAACUCUGUAAAGUCAGCUAAACGUUUUUAUUACGUUGCGUUGUAAAAGGAAUAUUAAGCUUCUCAAUGAUCAAAAUUGGUGGUUGUCAAAUUGCUAUAUAACCAGUGUAAUUUUUCUGACAAAACGGUUGGUUCAAAAUUUUUAAUUUUUUUAUAUUUUUGUUAAAGUGUCAAAGUAAAUACUUUGACAAAAUUUUAUGAAAAUUAAACGAGCCAAAUUAAUUUAAGUGAAAGUGCUGGGUACCACCUUAAUAGACUAAUUUUACAAUAAAUGAGAUGCCAAGACCAGUACACUAUAUAAUGUUGCCGUGAUUUUUUUUCAGCAGUGUCAUUUUCUAAGCACUAAUACAGCACUUGAAAAAUGUUAGGCUAAAGAAAAAAAAUCAAGAGGUGUAAAUGUAUAUUUGUUUAGCCUAACAGACGUUCCACUGAUUUAUUUACAAUGAUAUAUGUUUAUAAAAAAAUCAAACAUCAUUGUACUACAAAAUAAUUCAACCCUU
rnacentral:lncRNA from 1 species